CCCAUGUGCUGUGGACUCAUCCACUCCCCAGUUAUUACUACUCUUCCAUCUGCUUUUCCCCCUCCUUUGCUAUCUCACACACAUACACAAUCACUUAUGUAAAGUCACCCAGGACAGGAAGAAUCCAACAAUAACUGUUAUUAGCACUGCAAAGGAAAAAACAUUGCUGGUUUUCAUUGGAAAUCUUCCUGAAUGGAUACCUGCAUGGCAACCUCGGCACAACAUGAUGGUCGUAACCCAGUUUGGAGCAGAACUGUGAAAGAGGAAUUCACAACACAAAGCCAUCUCCACGCUGGCAAGCAAUCUCAGAAGAAAAGACAAGAAUUGGCAGGCCUGAAAAGAAAACCACCUUUCUCACCUUUACUGGAAAAAACAGGGCUGUUAGGUGGAAUGACUUUCAGUGUCUAGCAGUGUGAACUAGAGAUGAACUGCUCUUCUGGAGGGUAAAGGUUGGCUUCUAUUUUCUCUCAGGUGCAACUAAAGUUUCCUAAGGCAAGAAACGGAAAAAGAAUCAGCAACAUCUGGAGUUAUCUAUGCUUCUGCCAAAUAAAACGAACACGUCUGAAGAGGGCUGUUACUCA
ensembl:lncRNA